rnacentral:rRNA from 1 species
CUUGAGUUGAGUAGAGGGGAGUGGAAUUUCAGGUGUAGCGGUGAAAUGCGUAGAUAUCUGAAGGAACACCAGUGGCGAAGGCGACUCCCUGGACUCAAACUGACGCUGAGGUACGAAAGCGUGGGUAGCAAACAGGAUUAGAUACCCUGGUAGUCCACGCUGUAAACGAUGUCAACUAGCCGUUGGUCCUAUUUACAGGAUUAGUGGCGCAGCUAACGCAUUAAGUUGACCGCCUGGGGAGUACGGCCGCAAGGUUAAAACUCAAAUGAAUUGACGGGGGCCCGCACAAGCGGUGGAGCAUGUGGUUUAAUUCGAUGCAACGCGAAGAACCUUACCUACCCUUGACAUCCAGAGAAUCUGUUAGAGAUAGUGGAGUGCCUUCGGGAACUCUGAGACAGGUGCUGCAUGGCUGUCGUCAGCUCGUGUCGUGAGAUUGGUU